CCGCGGCGGUGAUGGCGGUGCGUGAACGCGCGGCGGCAGCAAUGGCCGCUCUGGAGCGGCGGGUGCCGAGUCUCGAUGACUUCGCGGGACAGAGCUGGAGCUCGUGGGUGGAGCGGGCCGAGCUGCCCGCGGCCGACGGGGGCAUCUGGCCUCGUGGCCUUUGGGGUGACAGCAGGCAUCACGCCCCAGAAGAAGUUUGCAAGUGAGAAGAGGUGGAGGAGGAGACCACAUGGAGCCGUCUCUGAUGACACUUGUUCUCCUCUGAGACAUCCAACUCCCAGCUCAGUUCUGUUCAUCACUGCAUUUUAACGGACUUCAGAGUGGAGGCUGCCCCUUGUCUCUUGCAUACCUAACCCACCACCCCUCACAUCUGGAGAUUAUAUAAGACUGUCAGUAUUCUCAUUCUAGAAAGGGGCAAGUCUGUUAGUAGGUGUCAGAAGCAGACCUAAGUGGGAGCCUCAGGCCACCCUAGAACUGCCCCAUGCUGGGUGGGCAAGGAUGGGGCCAUUGUCAGGGUCUGGGUGCACUGAGAACCGGAAAUGGAAUCAGACGGGUUUGGUGACUCAGAAUUGAUUUUUUUUUUUCCAAGGGACAGGGAGGGGGUGUAGAGGAGGGAGGGGAGAGCAGUAAGGUAGGGGGAUGGGGAAAGAGCUGCUUUGCAUAGCUAAGAUGUUUUUGUCAUCAACCCAGAAACUGAGGUACAAGGGCAACCCUUGCCCAAACCCCCUUAAGAGGAAAAGGGUUUGUGUAGCUGACCGAGGGGACUUGGAAGAUGCUGAAGGGCCCCAAGAUAGCAGUUUCUCUGCUCUGUGGCUAUCCUGUCAGUGCAGGACCUGAGCAACUGGGUGUAACUUUCACAAUGCCAUGGCAACCCAAGUGAAACAAAAUUGAGGUUGGGGACCCGGGAGAGUAUCUGUUUGGGAUGCCAAGAAAAGCGGGAAGAACGCAUCUGAGAAAUUUCAAGAAGGGCCUCGGGGAUCUGUAGUCAAAUAAGUGAAGGACUGUUCCCCAUUUACAUGGGGAAGCAGGCCCAGAAAAGAGAUAAUUACCCACAGUCAUCCAACUGGUCAGCGAUGGGAUCCUGAACUGCACCUUGGAGUGAAGGAGCCACACGAAAGGAUCCUCCUGAUGGAGCCAGCUUAUUCCAGAGGUAGCAGGGGCUGAGUUGGAGGAGAGUAACAAAAACCCUAAGAAGUUGGAUGCCAUGACCCUCAUUAAAGAAGACAUGUCCAUCUUCGGGCACUGCCCUGCCCAUGACGACUUCUAUUUGGUUGUAUGUAACCAUUGCAGCCAAGUGGUGAAGCCUCAAGCUUUCCAGAAGCACUGCGAAAGAAGACAUGGGCCCCUCAGCAAGCUCUACACCCGGGCCCCACCUCCACCUCCAGCCCCUGCCAGCUCUCAGAAAUGCCAUGUAGUGAAUGGGCAGGGCCCUGCUUGUAGGGCCCCAGGUUCUACCAAAACCUCCUCCAGGGAGAAGGGCCAGGGGUCUCGCAGCCGUGGCCACCAGCCUCCUGAGAAGACCCAGAAGGACAACCUCUGCCUUUUCGUGCCUGUGGUGAAUCUGGAGAAGAUGUCCAGUCUUCCGAAGCCCGAUGGACAUGGAAUCAGGGUGGCCCCACCCUCUGCUUUCCUCAGCCAGCCAGGUGGCCUCACCAAGGACUCCCCUGGAAAAAAUCCCAUGGCAUCCCCUUCUAAAGAACUUCCUGGCAGAGAGAGCAUCGAGAUAGCCCCCAGUGAGGGCCCCAGUCACCGGACUGAAGGCAGCCCUUCUGAAAAGGAGCCUGGUGGGGUCAAGCUGCCCCCCAAAACCCACCGGAAGAUGGCUCGGAAGGAAUGCGACCUCAACAGGCAGUGUGGGGUAAUAAAUCCAGAGACCAAAAAGAUCUGUACCCGCCUUCUCACCUGCAAGAUCCACUCAGUGCACCAGCGCCGGGAGGUCCAGGGCCGAGCCAAGGAUUUUGACGUGCUGGUGGCAGAGCUGAAGGCCAACUCCCGCAAAGGGGAGUCUCCCAAGGAGAAGAGCCCAGGGCGCAAGGAGGCAGCUCUCGAGCGCCCCUCCCAGGAGCCCCCCGCCUCAGUUCAACUUGUGGCAGCAGUGGCUGCUCCCAGCGGCGCCUUCUCUGCUCGUGCCAAGCCAACCUACCCCUACUGUGCACUGCCCAGGUCCCGGGCCUCCUCUGAGAGUGAGUUGGAUGAUGAAGGCCCUUGUGGUGGUGAUGGGGAUCCAGGCCUGUUCCCCUUCCCCCUGCCCCGGGGUGGGGCCCAGGCCUCCAGCGAGGAGAGUGAGGAGGAGGGGACAUCUGAUGACCUCCACCUCCCUACUGACUGCCAUUAUGCAACCCGGCCCCCUCGGCCACAGGCGUUCUGCACCUUUGGGAGCCGGCUGGUGAGUCCAGGAUGCUACGUGUUUAGCCGCCGGCUGGACCGGUUCUGCUCGGCCCUGAGCUCCAUGCUGGAACGGCACCUCAGCUCCCACAUGUGGAAGAAGAUCCCACCAGCGGCUGAGCCUCCCUCCCACCUUGUCAGCUCCCUCCCAUCUGCUCCCCUGAGCCCAUCCCCUACGGGCAGCAGCCCUCGCCUUCCAGGCCCACCCCCCAGACCUUCCUGCCCUGCCUCCACGCCCCCCACCAAGGACAGCCUUGGCCCCAGCUACCCUGCAGGCUCCCCCAGCGUGGCAGCCGCCUGUAGUCAGGCGGAGUGCAUGGGCGGGAGCCAGGCCAUCACCUCACCACUGCCUGCCAACACGCCGUCCCCGUCCUUCAGCAAGCUCCCACCUUCCAAGGCCAGCAAGUCGUCCAAAGGCAAGGAUAGGCUGGAGGUGGAGGCUCCUUCUCGAAAACGAAAGUUAUCACCGGGCCCCACCACUUUCAAACGGACUUGCAUCCUGGAGCCCACUGGAAAAGGCAAGCCCUCUGGAUGCCGGGGUCUCUCAGCCAAGACUAAACCCGCUCUGGGCCUGGGGCUUAAUGGGACGGUGGGGCCAAGAGUGAAGAGGGCAGGGCCCCUGGACUGUCGGGGUUCCCCUCAUCAGCCCCCCACGCCAGUCAAGGCCUCUCAGCUGGACAGCCAGGCGGUGGCUGGACAUGUGGCCAAGGCCCUGCCGACCACCUGCCUCUCUGAGGAGGAGGUAGCCAAGAAGCGGAAAAACCUGGCCACUUACUGCCGGCCAGUGAAGGCCAAGCACUGCCAGGCCGGCGCCCCUGCCGACGCGGCCUGUUCUGUGCGCCGCAAGAAGCCGGGUCCGGCCCUGGCCUUUGAGGAGAAGUGUUCUGCACUGAAGGUACCAGCCCAGCUCCCUGAAGAGCGGGGGCGGGGAAGGGUCAGGAUGGAUGAGGUUGGCGUGCCCAGCAGGAACCUGACAGAAAGAGGUGCCUAAGUAAAAAAAUUUGUGCAGGGAGGGGAAGACUGGGGAAGUUGAGAGUUCCUGGGCUAUCUUCUCUAGGGAGAGGUGACCCCAGCUCUUGCUUGGUGGGCCUUCCCCUGUCCCCAGCCCUCUCUCUUGGGCUAAGGAGAUGUUGCCUCUGCCUCUUCCCCUUCCCCCACUUUUGCUUUAAUUAAAGGGCCACUUUCUGAAUUGGCUGUGGCCCUCACUCCAGGAACUGGAGCUACCUCUGUUCCCUGAAGGAAAGGAAGUUGGACUCCAUGAGCUCUGAUAAGAAAGUCAAAAGCCCAUUAACAAGAAAGUGCCUGCCCACUGCAAUGGAGCCUCCAGCACCUCCUCCCCUCCAGAUCCGGGCCCCAGGCUGCUGCCGC